CAGUGAUUCAGAGUUGGUGGGAACAGCUUCAGCCUCUCCAAGGAAUACUGUAUAAAGACGAUCCUUCCCUUCCCACCUCUGUGUUUCAGGUCUGGCAAGAGGAUUAAGAAGACCAGGAAGUAUGACAUAAUCACCACUCCAGCUGAGAGGGUAGAAAUGGCUCCUCUGAAUGAAGAAGAUGACGAGGAUGAAGACUCAACAGUGUUUGAUGUGAAAUACAGGCUCACCCCGAGGAGGUUUUCCUACCUGGUUAUUAAAAGUGAAGGUCCUGAUCCAGGAGCUGCAGCCAAGGAGGAGACAAAAGACAGUGAAGCAUCCCAAAAUGGAAGGAGUCUUUGA
rnacentral:lncRNA from 1 species